GACGAACGCUGGCGGCGUGCCUAAUACAUGCAAGUAGAACGCAGUUGCGAACGGGUGAGUAACGCGUAGGUAACUGCCUCAUAGCGGGGGAUAACUAUUGGAAACGAUAGCUAAUAACGCAUACUGAGAGAUGGACCUGCGUUGUAUUAGCUGGUUGGUGAGGUUAAGGCUCACCAAGGCGACGAUACAUAGCCGACCUGAGAGGGUGACCGGCCACGCAGGGCUCCAGGCACGGGCCAGACUCCUACCGGUGGGAGCCGUUGGGAAUCUUCGGAAAUGGCCGGAAGUCUGACUGAGCAACGGCGCGUGAGUGAAGAAGGUUUUCGGAUCGUAAAGCUCUGUUGUGCGAGGCGCGGUAACUAACCAGAAAGGGACGGCUAACUACGUGCCAGCAGCCGCGGUAAUAC
rnacentral:rRNA from 1 species